UACAGAGGCCUCAAGCGUUGUUCGGAUUCAUUGGGCGUAAAGGGUGCGUAGGUGGUGACGCAAGUCUGGUGUGAAAUCUCGGAGCUCAACUCCGAAAUUGCACCGGAUACUGCGUGACUCGAGGACUGUAGAGGAGAUCGGAAUUCACGGUGUAGCAGUGAAAUGCGUAGAUAUCGUGAGGAAGACCAGUUGCGAAGGCGGAUCUCUGGGCAGUUCCUGACACUGAGGCACGAAGGCCAGGGGAGCAAACGGG
rnacentral:rRNA from 1 species